CAGCCGCCGCGGUAAUACGAAGGGGACUAGCGUUGUUCGGAAUUACUGGGCGUAAAGCGCACGUAGGCGGAUACUUAAGUCAGGGGUGAAAUCCCGGGGCUCAACCCCGGAACCGCCUUUGAUACUGGGUAUCUCGAGUCCGGAAGAGGUGAGUGGAAUUCCGAGUGUAGAGGUGAAAUUCGUAGAUAUUCGGAGGAACACCAGUGGCGAAGGCGGCUCACUGGUCCGGUACUGACGCUGAGGUGCGAAAGCGUGGGGAGCAAACAGGAUUAGAUACCCCUGUAGUCCCUGUCUCUUAUAC
rnacentral:rRNA from 1 species